UACCAGCACCCCGAGUGGUCGGGACGAUUAUUGGGCCUAAAGCAUCCGUAGCCGGUCUUGCAAGUCUUCCGUUAAAUCCAGCUGCUUAACAGAUGGGCUGCGGAGGAUACUACAAGGCUAGGAGGCGGGAGAGGCAAGCGGUACUCAGUGGGUAGGGGUAAAAUCCGUUGAUCCAUUGAAGACCACCAGUGGCGAAGGCGGCUUGCCAGAACGCACUCGACGGUGAGGGAUGAAAGCUGGGGGAGCAAACCGG
rnacentral:rRNA from 1 species